GGAACUGCGGAAGGAUCAUUA
rnacentral:rRNA from 1 species